GGAAAACACCUCUGAGAUCGCCGAGUCCAACUUAUGACCGACCACCACCAUGCCAACUAGACCAUGGCACUGAGUGCCACGUCCAGUCUUUCCUUAAACACCUCCAGGGAUGAUGCCUCCAACACCAUGAGACAGCCGAAGAAGGACGGUUUUCGCGUGCAAAACAUGGAGCCCGCUGGAGAGCCCGGGUAGCGACAAUCCGUUUUUUCCGCUGCGGCUGGCAAAGCUGCAACCUCCCAAAGACAGGCAGCCUUUCCCAGAAGUGCUCCCGCGGCUCCCGAGGCGGAGGGCCGAGAGCUCCAAACACCGUCCCUCCCCUGCUUUCCGCCGGCACCGGAGCCCUAAGCGGGCGCCUUUCCCUCGGGGCCGUCCUGGCGGGAAGGCACCGCAUCCCGCCGGCUGCCGAGCGAGUCCCUGUGCAGUACUGGAAUGGGAAAUGUGGAGUCAAUCAGUGCAAAUGAGAAUCAAGCCACACGUCUGAAAAGCAAUGAGCAACUGAAGAAAUAGUUUUGAAGGGGAAAGUUUGUAAUUAACCUCUCUAACACCAUCCUCAAAGCAGAGCACCUGAUCACAUGUGGCAUAGACAGCUUCUCUGCACUGUAGAAUAUGAUGCACCAUUUGUGGGAUCUGUAUCAGUAAGGCCACUCAUGCUAUAGCCACAGCAAGUGUCAUCCUGGUACCCUGUGGAAAGCCUAGCAACAACCCACAGACAAAAUUGAGACAGAACGGUAUUUGUUACAAUAAGGCAAGAGCUGAGUAGAAGUAACUGCAAAUAAAAUAGAACAGCUCAUACAGUACUUGCAAUUCUCAAUUGAGUUAGCCAGAAUUUUAAGCACUUCUUGGAAUGCUUCAGUGUUAAAACAUAUGAAGGUGUGAUGUUCUGGUGAGAGGGGUAUUAGGCUGAUUCUGCUGUCUUGGUUUUGGAUUUCACACUGAUACAAACAACCCUGGUUCAUAAGGUUUUGGAGUAAAAGUACAAAACAAGGUAUGUAAAUAUUUAAGUUAUAAACUCCACAAAACACGACAUUUUUCUUGAUGUCUUUACAAAAUCUGGGAGUGAGUUUGAUGGAUACAAUUUGCAUGAGCAGACAUUGUCACCUAAAUAUUGAAUGGGGGUUCAUGUGCUUUUGUAUCCUUAGUCAAAUGCUUGAUAUAACUCCAACAGUUGCUUCCCAGCUGAAAGGUUUCAGCACAAAUGACUGCUUUACUUCCUGAAGGUGAAAGAACUGUGUUCCCUUCUGCUAGGAACAUGUUCAGGCCUUUGAAGUGCAAUUCUCAUAUUCUGACUGCAUAAUAGGAAAA